rnacentral:lncRNA from 1 species
AGCAUUUUCUGGAUGCCAAUCAAUCCUUCAAGAAGAGCCCCGCCUUCAUGCCAUUUUCGGCGGGACGCCGACUGUGUCUGGGAGAGCCACUGGCACGCAUGGAGCUGUUCAUAUACCUCACCUCCAUUCUCCAGAACUUCACGUUGCAUCCGCUGGUGGAGCCUGAGGACAUCGACCUGACCCCGCUCAGCUCAGGGCUGGGCAAUUUGCCAAGGCCUUUCCAGUUGUGUAUGCGCAUUCGCUGAGUACUGCACCAGGGGACUGCUCUGGCCCUCUUCCAGGGGUUUCACUGUUGUGGGCCUCCAUUGACGUCUCUCUCACGUUCCCUUCCCUAAACCCGGGGCCUGCCACGUGUCGGUACUUUACCCUUCCUAUCUUAAGCGCAUCUUCAUGGAAAAAAUGACGUGACAAAGGGGAAAUACCCAUCUUAUACGCACAGACCCUGUUCUGCGAUGCACCCUUUUCCUGGCUGUUUGUAUCAUUUCCUAGUAAAUACCUUACUAGUA